rnacentral:rRNA from 1 species
GAUGAACGCUAGCGGCAGGCUUAACACAUGCAAGUCGAGGGGUAUAGGUUUUCGGAUCUAGAGACCGGCGCACGGGGUGCGUAACGCGUAUGCAAUCUACCUUUCACAGAGGGAUAGCCCAGAGAAAUUUGGAUUAAUACCUCAUAGUAUUAUAGAAUGGCAUCAUUUUAUAAUUAAAGUCACAACGGUGAAAGAUGAGCAUGCGUCCCAUUAGCUAGUUGGUAUGGUAACGGCAUACCAAGGCAACGAUGGGUAGGGGUCCUGAGAGGGAGAUCCCCCACACUGGUACUGAGACACGGACCAGACUCCUACGGGAGGCAGCAGUGAGGAAUAUUGGUCAAUGGGCGCAAGCCUGAACCAGCCAUGCCGCGUGCAGGAUGACGGUCCUAUGGAUUGUAAACUGCUUUUGCACAGGAAGAAACAACGCUACGUGUAGCGUCUUGACGGUACUGUGAGAAUAAGGAUCGGCUAACUCCGUG